AUUUGAAAUCUGGCCCUCUCAGGGUCCGAGUUGUAAUUUGUAGAGGGCGCUUUGGCGUUGGCCCCGGCCUAAGUUCCUUGGAACAGGACGUCACAGAGGGUGAGAACCCCGUACGUGGCCGCCGGCCUCCGCCGUGUAAAGCCCCUUCGACGAGUCGAGUUGUUUGGGAAUGCAGCUCUAAAUGGGAGGUAAAUUUCUUCUAAAGCUAAAUACUGGCCAGAGACCGAUAGCGCACAAGUAGAGUGAUCGAAAGAUGAAAAGCACUUUGGAAAGAGAGUCAAAAAGCACGUGAAAUUGUUGAAAGGGAAGCGCUUGCAGCCAGACUUGCCUGUAGUUGCUCAUCCGAGCUCCCGCUCGGUGCACUCUUCUGCGGGCAGGCCAGCAUCAGUCCGGGCGGUCGGAUAAAGGCUUCGGGAAUGUAGCUCCCCUCGGGGAGUGUUAUAGCCCGGGGCGCCAUGCGACCAGCCUGGACUGAGGUCCGCGCAUCUGCUAGGAUGCUGGCGUAAUGGCUGUAAGCGGCCCGUCUUGAAACACGGACCAAGGAGUCUAACAUCUAUGCGAGUGUUUGGGUGUCAAGCCCGGGCGCGCAAUGAAAGUGAACGGAGGUGGGAACCCCUCGGGGCGCACCAUCGACCGAUCCUGAUGUCUUCGGAUGGAUUUGAGUAAGAGCAUAGCUGUUGGGACCCGAAAGAUGGUGAACUAUGCCUGAAUAGGGUGAAGCCAGAGGAAACUCUGGUGGAGGCUCGCAGCGGUUCUGACGUGCAAAUCGAUCGUCAAAUUUGGGCAUAGGGGCGAAAGACUAAUCGAACUAUCUAGUAGCUGGUCU
rnacentral:rRNA from 1 species